ACUCUCUCCCCUGUCAAUCAGGACAACAAUAGCCAAUCACGAACACUAACUGACUGAAUAUCUUAUGGAAGAACAGUGUUCAUGUCUCCAGUACAGUGCCAGAGACAUGUAGAAUCUAUGACAAAGUGCAUCAGAGCUGGGUCAUGGCAG